GAUGAACGCUGACAGAAUGCUUAACACAUGCAAGUCGACUGUGGCGGACGGGUGAGUGACGCGUAAAGAACUUGCCUCACAGCUAGGGACCACAUUUGGAAACGAAUGCUAAUACCUGAUACUGUGAGAGAGCUUUGCGUCCCAUUAGCUAGUUGGAGAGGUAACGGCUCACCAAGGCGAGGAUGGGUAGCCGGCCUGAGAGGGUGAUCGGGCACAAGGGGAUUGGGAAAGCACCAGUACGCCUUCGUGAGCCAGCAGUGGGGAAUAUUGGACAACGGACCAAAGUAUGAUCCAGCACUUCGGUGUGUACGAUGAAUUUUUCGGAAUGUAAAGUGUUUUCAGUUGGGAAGCAGUACCAACAGAAGAAGUGACGGCUAAAUACGUGCCAGCAGCCGCGGUAAUUC
rnacentral:rRNA from 1 species